rnacentral:misc_RNA from 1 species
GAUGAAGAACGCAGCGAAAUGCGAUAAGUAAUGUUAAUUGCAGAAUUCAGUGAAUCAUCGAAUCUUUGAACGCACAUUGCGCCCGCCAGUAUUCUGGCGGGCAUGCCUGUUCGAGCGUCAUUUCAACCAUCAAGCCCCCGGCUUGUGUUGGGGACCUGCGGCUGCCGCAGGCCCUGAAAAGCAGUGGCGGGCUCGCUGUCACACCGAGCGUAGUAGCAUACAUCUCGCUCUGGGCGUGCUGCGGGUUCCGGCCGUUAAACCACCUUCAUAACCCAAGGUUGACCUCGGAUCAGGUAGGAAGACCCGCUGAACUUAAGCAUAUCAAUAAGCGGAGGA